rnacentral:rRNA from 1 species
CCUACGGGUGGCAGCAGUGAGGAAUAUUGGUCAAUGGGCGGAAGCCUGAACCAGCCAAGUCGCGUGAGGGAUUAAGGCCCUGCGGGUCGUAAACCUCUUUUGCCGGGGAGCAGAGGUCCGGACGUGUCCGGGCCGGGAGAGUACCCGGAGAAAAAGCAUCGGCUAACUCCGUGCCAGCAGCCGCGGUAAUACGGAGGAUGCGAGCGUUAUCCGGAUUUAUUGGGUUUAAAGGGUGCGCAGGCGGAAUGUCAAGUCAGCGGUAAAAUUUCGGGGCUCAACCCCGUCGUGCCGUUGAAACUGGCGUUCUUGAGUGAGCGAGAAGUAUGCGGAAUGCGUGGUGUAGCGGUGAAAUGCAUAGAUAUCACGCAGAACUCCGAUUGCGAAGGCAGCAUACCGGCGCUCAACUGACGCUCAUGCACGAAAGCGUGGGUAUCGAACAGGAUUAGAUACCCCUGUAGUC